rnacentral:rRNA from 1 species
UACGGAAGGGGGCUAGCGUUGUUCGGAAUUACUGGGCGUAAAGCGCGCGCAGGCGGUCCUUCAAGUCGAGGGGUGAAAUCCCAGAGCUCAACUCUGGAACUGCCUUUGAUACUGGGUGUCUUGAGUGUGAGAGAGGUAUGUGGAACUCCGAGUGUAAGAGGUGAAAUUCGUUAGAUAUUCGGAAGAAACACCAGUGGCGAAGGCGACAUACUGGCUC